CUCAUCUCAUCUUGAACUGGGCAGGUGAUCUUCAGAAAACAGAGUUCUGAAGAACCACAGCUGAUCCCGUGACUUUUUUCACUCUCUGCUAUAUUUGAGCAAAUCAAAUCCUAGUAAAGAAGCGGUCAAAUUCAUUUGCAAGUGAGGUGCAUAUCCAAGCAUGUACUGAAGAAGUCCACAGAAGAGUAUGAGCAGGAAGGACAAGAAAAUAGCCUCCAUAUGGCCCACCAGACAAGAAGUCCACUGAGCUGAUUUCAUAGGAUUAUAGAAUGGCUUGGCUUGGAAGGGACCUCAGGGAUCAUCAUGUUCCAACGCCACUGCCACAG
rnacentral:lncRNA from 1 species